UUUUUUUCUCUAUUUUUUUGUUCUGUCUUUGGUGAUUUUGAGUUUUUUUUUUUUAAGAGGAUGUUAGAAUGUUUGAGAAGUAAAAUUGUAUACAAAUUUUUUAACGAACUCGGCUUUUUCUCCUAUUAUCUGCAUCAUGGUACGCAUGUAAAUAAUAUAGAAUAUAGACUCAAAUGGGUGAACUGGGUCUCUUUGUGCUUGGAUAGAUCUGGUAGAUCUAGUGAUUUGUCAAAUGGGAUUUUUCGGCCUUUAAAUGGAUGAUGAUGGUUGCUUUGAGGCAGUUUGCAAAAGUUUGCUCAUUUUAUUUGUCUGACUUCGCCCUCAACGGCUAUGAUGAAGCGUGUGUUGGCUAUAGGAGACAGAAUCAUAAGCUUUGCUAGCUGAGAUGCUAAGAAUAAUGAGUUUUAACUUUGCGUCUACAAUCAGUUGUGGGUCUUUGAUCUCAUCUCUCUCAGCACCCUUUCUCUGGCAUACCCACAAAGAGAUAGAAAAUGGGGUACUGCUAAGUAGUUUAGAUCCCCAGAGAUCAGACCUUAUUAUUCUCGAUGUUGACUAACAAAUGAACAUCAAAAUGAAUGUGUUUUAAAAGAAAAUACACAUUGGACUGACUUUUAAUUAUCUUGACAUUUUUCAUUUUGUAAAUGAUCUCUCUUUGCAUUUUUCAUUUUGUGGUUUUUCAUUCUGUGGUAGUAAAUACUAAGAUCAUGAACUGCAGGUUCCAAUUCUCCUUUUUGUUUCAUAAAAUUGUCUUUUCUAGUCGCUUUUUUAUUACAAGAUCAAUUGUGCGGUGCCCAUGCCUUCCCAUUUUUCAUGGUUGUGAUGACUCGAGACCCUAUUUUGGGCUUUAGAUCUUGAAGGUGUUGAAGGUGUUGAAAUGUAGGCUUCCUGCGUAAUACUUAUUGGUGCUUUGCCUGUUGUGUCUCAAAGUCUGUCCAUGUCCAGGUUUCUCAGUUGGACUAGCUAAUGCAAUGCAACCAGCAUGCAGCAAUGCAACAUCUGCUGAUUCUAUGAUUAGUUCUAAAGCUGAACCAAUACUUCGUUUAACGACAAUGCAAGCGCAUUCAAGCCUUCUGUUAUCUGGUCUUACUGGAGAGAGUAGUGCUAGAGAUGAUCAAGAUUUUUUUUUCUUUUUAGGUUAAUGUUGUUUCUAGUGAUAGCUUAUAUGUAUGUGUUAAUUAUAUAAUUAGUUUAUAUUUUUAUCAUCAUGGACAACGAUAUAAAAAUUAUAAGCUUUUAUAUAACAAAACAAUUUUGCAUUUCAA